GUGCUCACUUUGGCAGCACAUAUACUAAAAUUGCAACGAUACAGAGAUGAUUAUCAUGGCCCCUGAGCAGGAUGACACACAAAUUCGUGAAGCAUUCCAUAUUUUU
rnacentral:snRNA from 1 species